CAGUCGCCACGGUAAUACGUAGGUCCCGAGCGUUGUCCGGAUUUAUUGGGCGUAAAGCGAGCGCAGGCGGUUAGAUAAGUCUGAAGUUAAAGGCUGUGGCUUAACCAUAGUACGCUUUGGAAACUGUUUAACUUGAGUGCAAGAGGGGAGAGUGGAAUUCCAUGUGUAGCGGUGAAAUGCGUAGAUAUAUGGAGGAACACCGGUGGCGAAAGCGGCUCUCUGGCUUGUAACUGACGCUGAGGCUCGAAAGCGUGGGGAGCAAACAGGAUUAGAUACCCCCGUAGUCCCUGUCUCUUAUACA
rnacentral:rRNA from 1 species